rnacentral:rRNA from 1 species
GACGAACGCUGGCGGCGUGCUUAACACAUGCAAGUCGAGCGGAAAGGCCACUUCGGUGGUACUCGAGCGGCGAACGGGUGAGUAACACGUGAGUAAUCUGCCCCUGGCUUCGGGAUAGCCACCGGAAACGGUGAUUAAUACCGAAUAUGACAUGGACUCGCAUGGGUUUGUGUGGAAAGUUUUUCGGCCAGGGAUGUGCUCGCGGCCUAUCAGCUUGAUGGUGAGGUAAUGGCUCACCAUGGCUUCGACGGGUAGCCGGCCUGAGAGGGUGACCGGCCACACUGGGACUGAGACACGGCCCAGACUCCUACGGGAGGCAGCAGUGGGGAAUAUUGGACAAUGGGCGGAAGCCUGAUCCAGCAACGCCGCGUGAGGGAUGACGGCCUUCGGGUUGUAAACCUCUUUCGGUAGGGACGAAGCGCAAGUGACGGUACCUACUAAAGAAGCACCGGCCAACUACGUGCCAGCCGCCGCGGUAACAC